rnacentral:lncRNA from 1 species
UUGUCCUGGGCCACUCUAAGGUACACAUAAUCAUAUAGAAAGUAUAUAGCAUAUCACACAUAAGGCUAAUUCUAUAAUCUAAUUCAUAUCCAUAUUUUAUUGGGAUUCAGGUUCACAUAUGCUGACGACCCACGUAGAGUUAGUGGCACUAAAAUGGCCCACAUAGAGUUAGUGUGGCGCUUACCAAGGCCCACCGCGUAACAGAAAUGCAAUAAGCACAAUCGCCAGCAUACGGGCCCUAACUAGGUGAUCAAUCAAUUACCAGAUGUAUUCACUAAUCAGUAAUAGCUGCUUAGACUAACAUAUAUAUUAAAUUAUAUAUAUCAGCAAAGUAACAGAACAUGUAUCAUAUUA